rnacentral:rRNA from 1 species
AGCUUGCUAUGGUAUAACUUAGUGGCAGACGGGUGAGUAAUGUAUAGGAAUCUACCUAGUAGUACGGAAUAAUUGUUGGAAACGGCAACUAAUACCGUAUACGCCCUACGGGGGAAAAAUUUAUUGCUAUUAGAUGAGCCUAUAUUAGAUUAGCUAGUUGGUGGAGUAAUAGCCUACCAAGGCAAUGAUCUAUAGCUGAUCUGAGAGGAUGAUCAGCCACACUGGAACUGAGAUACGGUCCAGACUCCUACGGGAGGCAGCAGUGGGGAAUAUUGGACAAUGGGCGAAAGCCUGAUCCAGCCAUGCCGCAUGAGUGA